rnacentral:rRNA from 1 species
UACGUAGGAGGCAAGCGUUGUCCGGAAUUACUGGGCGUAAAGCGCGUGUAGGUGGUGGGACAAGUCUGCUGUGAAAGCGCCUGGCUUAACCGGGCGAGGUCGGCGGAAACUGUCCGACUUGAGGACGGUAGAGGGGGGUGGAAUUCCCGGUGUAGUGGUGAAAUGCGUAGAGAUCGGGAGGAACACCUGUGGCGAAGGCGCUCUACUGGACCACAACUGACACUCAGGGACGAAAGCUAGGGGAGCGAAUGGG